rnacentral:rRNA from 1 species
AUUGAACGCUGGCGGCAGGCCUAACACAUGCAAGUCGAACGCGUGGCGGACGGGUGAGUAAUGUCUGGGAAACUGCCCGAGGGAGGGGGAUCACUACGGGAAACGGUAGCUAAUACCGCAAACCAUCGGAUGUGCCCAGAUGGGAUUAGCUAGUAGGUGGGGAAACGGCUCACCUAGGCGACGCUCCCUAGCUGGUCUGAGAGGAUGACCAGCCACACUGGAACUGAGACACGGCCCAGACUCCUACGGGAGGCAGCAGUGGGGAAUAUUGCACAAUGGGCGCAAGCCUGAUGCAGCCAUGCCGCGUGUAUGAAGAAGGCCUUCGGGUUGUAAAGUACUUUCAGCGAGGAGGCGUUACUCACAGAAGAAGCACCGGCUAACUCCGUGCCAGCAGCCGCGGUAAUAC